AUUUAAAUAGUUUUAUAAAUAAAAAUAAUGAUUUGUGGAGUCGAAGAUGUACAGUUAAGUACUUUAAAUA
rnacentral:tRNA from 1 species